rnacentral:rRNA from 1 species
AGCAGCCGCGGUAAUUCCAGCUCCAAUAGCGUAUAUUAAAGUUGUUGCAGUUAAAAAGCUCGUAGUUGAAUUUUAGGCCUGGCCGGGCGGUCCGUCUUUGGCGAGUACUGUCCUGUGUCGGGUCUUCCUUCUGGUGAACCAGUAUGUCCUUUAUUGGGUGUGCCGGGGAGCCAGGACCAUUACCUUGAAAAAAUUAGAGUGUUUAAAGCGGGCUUUUGCUUGAAUAGAUUAGCAUGGAAUAAUAGAAUAGGACGUUGUGGUUCUAUUUUGUUGGUUUCUAGGACCACCGUAAUGAUUAAUAGGGAUAGUUGGGGGCAUUAGUAUUCAAUUGUCAGAGGUGAAAUUCUUGGAUUUAUUGAAGACUAACUACUGCGAAAGCAUUUGCCAAGGAUGUUUUCAUUAAUCAAGAACGAAAGUUAGGGGAUCGAAGACGAUCAGAUACCGUCGUAG